AGGGACUUCUCUAGAAACUGAGAUACUGUAAGUACCCACGUUAUAUCUAGAUAUUGGAAUACAGACAACAAGAACUACUAGAAAGAAAAUCUUGGCUUUAUUUAGCCUAUAUUUUAGCAAAAGAGACCAAUAAUAGAUGGUCUAAGUAAAUUAUGUACUGUGUCAUAUGGUGUUGAAGACUAAGGAGAUAAAGAAAGCAGGGAAAGGAGAUAGGAAGUAGUGGGAUGGGCUGAAGUUCCAGGUAGAAUGCAUCAUCUACUGAAGAGAAGAGCAUCAAGAGACGGGUAAGUAAGAGAGGUGAUAGAGAGUGAGACAGGUCAUACAAUGAGUUUUAGAUCCUAGCAAUAAUUUUUACUUUAAGUCCAAAUAAGAUGGAAAGCCAUAGGAGAGUUUUCAACAGAGUAGUGAAAUGAUAUGACCUUGGUUUAACUGCAUUCUUUUGGUUCUGGGUUGAGGAUAGAUAAAAGAAUAAGUAGCACCGACUCAGGUAAAAGAUGAGAGUGGUGGAAAGUGGUAAGUUCUGGAUCUUCUUUGAAGGUAGAGUGGGAAAGAUUGGCUGACUGGAUUAGUGUGGGGUGUAAAAGAAACAUAGAAGUCAAGAAUGACAUCAAUGCUUUCAAUCUAAAAAUCUAGAAACAUGGAGUUGCCAUUAACUUAGGUGGUGAAUACUGUGGAAGAAGCCAAUUUGGGUCAGGAGCUCAGUUUUAGACAUCCUAUUUAAGGAAUACCUGUUAGAAAUCAAGUAGAGAUAGUGAUUUGGUGGUUGUUGAGUAUGAAAGGUAGGGACCACAAAAGAUGUCACAAAUGUGGGAGCUAUGAGAACACCGAUGGUAUUCAAAGCCAUGAAAUUGGAAAAGAUCACCUAGCACGUAAGCACUGAUAGCACAGAGAAGAGAAUCAAAGACUGAGCCUUGGAGCAUUCUAACAUUUAGCAGUGAGGAGGAAGAGGAUGACUCAGUGAGAAGAGUCAGGUGCAGGGACCAGAAAGGUAGAAAAAAAAAAAAAAACAGCCAAAUACGUUGUGAUUUAAGCUAAGUGAGGUAACUGCAUCAAAAGGGGAGUUUUGCUGUAAAUAAUAAGAGAGAAAUGGGACAGUAACUGGAGGAGGAAGAGGAUAAUGAAAGUCUUUUUGGAGACAGGUGAAAUUACAACAUGCUUUUGUCUGCUUCAAACAGUGAACCACAGGAGAAGAAAAGAAUAAGUGGAGUGAUGUAUUGGAAUGACCGAGAAAGAAUGAGACGUAAUUUACAAGUGAAAGGAAUGGCCUUGACUAGGAGUGAAGAUACACACAAAGAAUAUGGACAUAGUUGCAAGCAGCUUAAGAAGAAAACACAGCUGGACCUACAAUCGGGGAAAAUCCAUAACAGGCAAGACAAGAGCAAUUUCUCUGCCAGCUUCUUGCUACCUGCUGUCUCUAAUUGGCCAAACUUCUCACGGUGGAGUGCUCUCUCCUCCCCAUGUCUAAGUUGUCUUGUCUGGCCCCUCCAGGCAGGCACUGGGAAGCCAUAGCCUCAGUAUGACAGGUUGAGUCACACAUGGCAGUACAGCUGAUGAGUGCCUGCUCCUCUGGGCAUGAUGGACACUCUGCCAGUGUGUGGCCCUUAUCCCAAGGCAGGCAGAGACAAGCAAUAGUGGGAGAAGAUAAGAAGAUGGUGAUGACCAGGGCUCUGCAAUUGUGGGGACUUUGUGACUUGUUGCUGAGACCACUCUGUCCAGGAGCUAGGGCACAGAGCUAUGGGCUCUUGUUCUUAUUCUGGGGCUAUCAUCUAGGGAGAUCAUGAGGAAAUUGUGUGUCUCCAUUCCUUCAUCUGUUUCAAGACAACAUUUUAUGAGGUUAGUAAAAAUGACUGGAAAUAAUGUUCUGUCAUUCUAUUAAUUCAAAGAAGUUUGAGCACCUUCUGUGUUUACUUCCUCUCAGUUAUAUAUUUAUCUAACAGUGUAUUGCUAAGAAAUACUUCAGAACAUAUUCAUGUAAUAGCUGGAUUCUAGAUUCUAGAUUCUAAUUUCUAGAUUCUAAUUCUAAUCUAGAUUCUAGAUUCUAAACAUGGAAUAUUCUUACUGCAAUGGCAGUGAGUUGGGCAAAUAAUAAAUAGUGCAAGUUCCUAAAACAAAGUGCUGCAGCACUGACAGAGAGACCAUGAUAUUCUGUUGAUUAAAUUGACUUCAGUUUGGUCAUCAAAUAGGGCAAGAAACUUUUAAAAUAUCCUGUUUUGUAAUUAGUCAAAAAACAUGACAUGAAAAGCCUUCCUCUCUUGAUCUUUAUUCAUGCUCUACGGUAUUUUGAAAACUAAAAAUAAAUAGCCAAACCAGUGGAUUCUACACAGUUGAAGGUAGAAAAGGGAAGGAGGCAGUCUCACUUCUCCCCAUAAAAAAAAUGGUAUGUGCCAAAUGAGCAGCAAAGAGAAUAAGAGGAAUGGCUCAGGUCACCCAGGGCUGGGCUGAGAAAAAGAGGAGUAGAGCUUGAAUGGGUCUUUCAGAAAGGACACAUGUCAGAUAAGGUGGUGGGUUGAUAGUGGCAUUACAGAACUAUUUAAAAUCCUUUCAGUAGGGGGAAGAAGAAAUCAAUUAAUCUGAGUCAUGUGGUUUGGAUGUUAAAGCCUGAUAUCCUGUCAGUGUUGCUAUAGGCUCCCUGGAGAGAUAUUUUGGCUCUUGGCAAAGUGCUGUUGUUGACCUUACUGCCUGUAACAUUCAAAGGCUUAGAACAAAAACUGACCAGAAAGAAAGUGAAAGGCUAACCAAGAGAUUUGUAGGUCAGAACAUAGCAAGUGUCUGUUAUUCAUGUUAAUGGAAUGGAAAUAUGACAUAGAUAAUAAAUAGUCAUUGCUUUAGUUAGGACUAAGUUUGGUCACAAAUGACAAUAAACUCAAAAUAAAAGGGGGUUAGUCACAAUAGAAGUCUAUUUUCCUCUCACAUAUAUGUCCAGAGGGGAAGCCCAGGGGUGAUAUGAAUAUGAUGGUCCAUGAUGUUAUGGGAGCAGGCUUCAUCUGUCUUGCUGCUUGCCAUGCGUGGUCUCCAUACCCAAGGAUCACAUGGUCUCACAUGGCUGUUUCAACUCUAGCCAUAAAAACUAGUUCUGACAAUAAGAAAGAGAGCAAGAAAGGGAUGGGCCAUAUCCCUGACCUUUAAAGAUAUUUCCAAGAAGAUGUGACCUAUUUAUGUGUACAUACCAUUUCCAGAACUUCGUUAUCUACACACACUUAGCUGAAUGGUCAGACAGAAAGUGUAAUUUUUGCGUGAUGCUGCCAGAUGCCCAGCUAAGAUUUGGGGUUCCUAUUACUGAGAAAGAAGGGAACACAAUCUUGAAAGGACAACCAGCAGCCUCUGUCCCAAUCAUCUGAGACACUAGCAUUUGGUUUUCCAAACAAUUUUAUAAUUUUGAGCAAUAUAUUUGCAUUGUAAUUUUUAAAACUUAAUAUCAAUUUUUUUUAUUUUGUUGUUCAUUUAACCCACUUACUGAGCAGUACAGAAUUAAAAUUAUAAUUUCAUAUAGAUAUUGACAUUUCAUUUCUUCUGUGAGCCUAAAAAUCAUGGAUUUUCCAUUCUUUCAGCAGUAGUCUCUCAUUGUAGUGAUGCCUAAGUUAUGAUUUUGAAUGCGCAAAAGAAAUAAAAUUUAUUUACCACUAGA